ACAAUUAAAACAACAGGAAAGUACAGUGCUAUCUACUUUUUGAAUCUGGCAACUUCAUCUUAUCAUCUUCUCUCCCUUUUGCACAUAAUUUUCUCCAUUAAAUUUUUACAAUCCCAAAUUAAUAUUAGUGAUUAUUCAUUCUAAGUUUGCUUGCUGAUGAAAUGUGGAGGAUGUUGAUCUUUUCUUCUAGAAAUUUAAGUAGAUCAAUUUUUGGGCAGUCAUUUAGGGUACAGAACUUGAAAGUUUAGAGACCAAGCAUUUUAUUUUGUCCAUGGAGGCAGUUUUGGUGUGUGGUGUUGGUACAAAACUACAACACUACUCAAAGAAACAUGAUAUCAAGUUGAUGCCAUAGAUUUAACUGGUUCUGGUGAACAACAUUACCACAUUCUCCGAAUACGUAAAACCACUCACCAAUUUCAUUGAAAAUCUACCUGAUGGCAGUAAGGUUUGACUAAAUGCAGUUAGUGGUAAUUUUAAGUAUUUUUUGAGAGCCUGUUGGUCCAAUCACGGUCAACUCGAUAUACCAAGCAUACAGUUAGUGGCUCAGCUUGUUGGUUCUUUAACAUCACUAUUCAAAAACUUCUGCUGAUUACUUUGCUUGGGCUGCUAAACAUACCGUCAAUGUUGGUGACUAUUUGAUUAUUAGCAGAACCUGGAGUUACUAAACAUUGUCUAAACAAUGACUGAUCUGAGACAAAUGAGGCUUUCUCAAGUGGUUGAGCAUCUCCAUCAUCAACCGGUAGGUUAAGAGUUUGAGAGUUCGAGUCUGAAGGGUAAAUGCGAAUACUAUUGAUCCUCUUGGAGUUGGGGUGAGGGAAAAAUACAGAUCUAAUAUGCCUCUAUUCAGGAUAACCUUCUUCACUUUCAAAGCUUCGUCUUCUCCGGAAAGGAUUAGUUGAUUGUAAAUUUGAUAUGUUAAUUGGAUGAACUUAGUCUAUGGACAGUUUUUGAAAGCCAGUAGUGAACAACCUGUAACAUAGAAAAGAGCUUCAUUCAUGGAAGAGGUCCUCCGAGAGGCUGAUGUGAUAAGUCUACAUCCGGUUUUGAUAAAACAACUUACCACCUCGUGAACAAAUAACGGCCAGCAAUGAUGAAGAAGUAGGUGGCCGGUGAUUGAUGAAGUAGCUCUUGUUGAGCUUCUGAGGGAAAAUCCCAUGUUCCGUGUUGGCCUUGAUGUCUUUGAGGAUGAGCCCUACAUGAAAGCUGGUCUUGCAGACAUGAAGAAUGUUGUUGUAGUACCUACAUAGAUUCUGCUUAUAAGGUAAUCUAAUGUAUUUAUCUGUGCUAAAAUAAGCAACUUUCUGCUAUGAUAGCUAUUUCCCAUCUAGUUCGCCAAUACUUAAGAUUUUUGAUAGUAUGGCCACUUCGUAAGAAAAAACUAAACAUCCUGAUUCAUAAUGCAAUGGACUCGUGAGGGAAUGGCUACACUGGCUACUCUGAAUGCCCUGGUACGCAAUAUUGAAUUGGGAUGUGAAAAAGAUGAGUCCACGCCCCUUGUUGUGGAAUUCCAAAAUUUCAGAGAAUGGUGCUAAUUAGUAUAGAUAAAACACAAAAGUUGAGAAGUCUAUGAAGCAGAUAAAGGAGCGAAAAACAGAGCCCAGAUAGUACGUUUCGU